AAUGAAAUUGCUGGGCCACAUGGUAAAUUUAUGUUUAACUUUUUAACAAACUGCCAAAUUGUUUCCCAAAGUGGCUGCACUAUUUUACAUUCCCACUAGCAGU
rnacentral:pre_miRNA from 1 species